rnacentral:rRNA from 1 species
AGAGAGGAGCUUGCUCUUCUUGGAUGAGUUGCGAACGGGUGACCAACGCGUAGGUAACCUGCCUUGUAGCGGGGGAUAACUAUUGGAAACGAUAGCUAAUACCGCAUAACAAUGGAUGACACAUGUCAUUUAUUUGAAAGGGGCAAUUGCUCCACUACAAGAUGGACCUGCGUUGUAUUAGCUAGUAGGUGAGGUAACGGCUCACCUAGGCGACGAUACAUAGCCGACCUGAGAGGGUGAUCGGCCACACUGGGACUGAGACACGGCCCAGACUCCUACGGGAGGCAGCAGUAGGGAAUCUUCGGCAAUGGGGGCAACCCUGACCGAGCAACGCCGCGUGAGUGAAGAAGGUUUUCGGAUCGUAAAGCUCUGUUGUAAGUCAAGAACGAGUGUGAGAGUGGAAAGUUCACACUGUGACGGUAGCUUACCAGAAAGGGACGGCUAACUACGUGCCAGCAGCCGCGGUAAUACGUAGGUCCCGAGCGUUGUCCGGAUUUAUUGGGCGUAAAGCGAGCGCAGGCGGUUUGAUAAGUCUGAAGUUAAAGGCUGUGGCUCAACCAUAGUUCGCUUUGGAAACUGUCAAACUUGAGUGCAGAAGGGGAGAGUGGAAUUCCAUGUGUAGCGGUGAAAUGCGUAGAUAUAUGGAGGAACACCGGUGGCGAAAGCGGCUCUCUGGUCUGUAACUGACGCUGAGGCUCGAAAGCGUGGGGAGCGAACAGGAUUAGAUACCCUGGUAGUCCACGCCGUAAACGAUGAGUGCUAGGUGUUGGAUCCUUUCCGGGAUUCAGUGCCGCAGCUAACGCAUUAAGCACUCCGCCUGGGGAGUACGACCGCAAGGUUGAAACUCAAAGGAAUUGACGGGGGCCCGCACAAGCGGUGGAGCAUGUGGUUUAAUUCGAAGCAACGCGAAGAACCUUACCAGGUCUUGACAUCCCGAUGCUAUUUCUAGAGAUAGAAAGUUACUUCGGUACAUCGGUGACAGGUGGUGCAUGGUUGUCGUCAGCUCGUGUCGUGAGAUGUUGGGUUAAGUCCCGCAACGAGCGCAACCCCUAUUGUUAGUUGCCAUCAUUCAGUUGGGCACUCUAGCGAGACUGCCGGUAAUAAACCGGAGGAAGGUGGGGAUGACGUCAAAUCAUCAUGCCCCUUAUGACCUGGGCUACACACGUGCUACAAUGGUUGGUACAACGAGUUGCGAGUCGGUGACGGCAAGCUAAUCUCUUAAAGCCAAUCUCAGUUCGGAUUGUAGGCUGCAACUCGCCUACAUGAAGUCGGAAUCGCUAGUAAUCGCGGAUCAGCACGCCGCGGUGAAUACGUUCCCGGGCCUUGUACACACCGCCCGNCACACCACGAGAGUUUGUAACACCCGAAGUCGGUGAGGUAACCUUUGGAGCCAG